rnacentral:lncRNA from 1 species
UACAUCCUUAGGCCUAAUUCCUAAAAUAGGCUACGAUUGCAUCUGGGUUGGAUAAACCAUACACACCAUAGACCACCUCUGGGUUGGAUAAAUCAUAGACACCAUAUCAUACCAACCUCCCAUAAGUUUCAUGUUUGCUCUGCAUAAAAGGGGCAAUGUUGGGAUUAUUUGGUCUAGCCUCCAUGUCCUACAUGGGUCUUACUUGCUUAUUCCAGUUAUCACAUACACCACAUUUUUCUCUAGAAAGCACGACAUACAUUUUUCGCCGAAUAUUUCAAACAUAACGAACACUACAUCACAAACUCAGUAACAUAUGGUUGAAACACACAACUUAGUAUUUCUCCCAAAACGAGAGAGAAGUUAUUACACUCAGCUGCCCAACCAUAUGUGAACACAUCAUGCAUCGCCGGAUCCAACAAUUCUCAUUUUG